AGAGUUUGAUCAUGGCUCAGGACGAACGCUGGCGGCGUGCCUAAUACAUGCAAGUUGAGCGCUGAAGGUUGGUACUUGUACCGACCGGAUGAGCAGCGAACGGGUGAGUAAUGCCUGGGAAAUUGCCCAGUCGAGGGGGAUAACAGUUGGAAACGACUGCUAAUACCGCAUACGCCCUACGGGGGAAAGCAGGGGACCUUCGGGCCUUGCGCGAUUGGAUAUGCCCAGGUGGGAUUAGCUAGUUGGUGAGGUAAUGGCUCACCAAGGCGACGAUCCCUAGCUGGUCUGAGAGGAUGAUCAGCCACACUGGGACUGAGACACGGCCCAGACUCCUACGGGAGGCAGCAGUGGGGAAUAUUGCACAAUGGGCGCAAGCCUGAUGCAGCCAUGCCGCGUGUAUGAAGAAGGCCUUCGGGUUGUAAAGUACUUUCAGUCGGGAGGAAGGUGUUAAGGUUAAUAACCUUGGCAAUUGACGUUACCGACAGAAGAAGCACCGGCUAACUCCGUGCCAGCCGCCGCGGUAAUUC
rnacentral:rRNA from 1 species